UCGCUACUACCGAUUGAACGUUUUAAUGAGUUCCGAGGAUCUGUUGCUUCAGGGGCUAGUUCCUUGUUGUAGUGGAGAGCAGGUGCAAAUUUGAUCGUUUAGAGGAAGUAA
rnacentral:rRNA from 1 species